rnacentral:rRNA from 1 species
UGGGGAAUAUUGGACAAUGGGCGCAAGCCUGAUCCAGCCAUGCCGCGUGAGUGAUGAAGGCCCUAGGGUUGUAAAGCUCUUUCACCGGUGAAGAUAAUGACGGUAACCGGAGAAGAAGCCCCGGCUAACUUCGUGCCAGCAGCCGCGGUAAUACGAAGGGGGCUAGCGUUGUUCGGAUUUACUGGGUGUAAAGCGCACGUAGGCGGAACUUUUAAGUCAGGGGUGAAAUCCCGGGGCUCAACCCCGGAACUGCCUUUGAUACUGGAAGUCUUGAGUAUGGUAGAGGUGAGUGGAAUUCCGAGUGUAGAGGUGAAAUUCGUAGAUAUUCGGAGGAACACCAGUGGCGAAGGCGGCUCACUGGACCAUUACUGACGCUGAGGUGCGAAAAGCGUGGGGAGCAAACAGGAUUAGAUACCCCUGGUAGUCCACGCCGUAAACGAUGAAUGUUAGCCGUUGGGGGAGUUU